AGGACCACUCCACCCUCCCUCCUUCCUCGCGCGUGCCGAGAGAGCGCCCGCUUCCCAUCCCACACUUUCCGUCACCAUGGACGCUGACUCCGAGGGCGGCGACGCCCCCCCAUCCGCCACCUACGGCUCCGACGCCGCCGCCGCCGCUGCCGCCUUCCGCACCUUCCGGACACUGGUGGAGAGCGCCGACCGGAAGUUCGCCCGCGUCCGCGACCUCCCGCCGUACGGCCGCGGGCCGCACCUCCUCCACUACUACCGCAAGGUAUUCAGGGCCUACACUAGCCUCUGGAGGUUCCAGCAGGAGCGUCGCGGCGAGCUCGUCGGCGCCGGCCUCCGCCGGUGGGAGAUCGGCGAGAUCGCCUCCCGGAUCGGUCAGCUGUACUACACCCAAUACCUUCGGACCAGCGAGGUCCGGUACCUCCUCGAGGCGUACGUUUUCUACGAGGCGAUUCUGAACCGCGGGUACUUCGAGGCCGGGAAGGGGUCGUUGGCCUCGUCGUCGUCGGCGAGGACCGAUCUGGGACUGAGGUACAAGGAGCUCAGGUUCCACGCGAGGUUCUUGAUCGUGGCCAUGCUGCUGAACCGGACGGAUGCGGUGAAGCACCUCGCCGAAAGGUUUAGGGCUCUGGUGGAGGAGUCGAAGGCCGCUCACCCGGAGACUAAUUUCAAAGAAUGGAAACUAGUGCUGCAAGAAAUUUUCAGGUUUUUGAAAGCCAAUACAGCUUUUACAAACACCAGGCCUUUGAGAUACAGCAUACUGUUUGAUUCUCAUCUAUCUUCUGUUCCAUAUAUUGCACGAUUCCAUGCAAAUAGGGUUUUGAGGCUACAGGAUGCUUUGCUCACAAGCUAUCAUCAUAAUGAGGUCAAGUUUACAGAGCUUACUCUGGACACGUUCAGAAUGCUUCAAUGUUUGGAAUGGGAACCCAGUGGAUCCUUCUACCAGACUCCUCCAAAAGAGCCAACCGAUAAUGGUGCCUUUAGUGAUCUGAGUGGAGCUUCUGGACUGAUUGAUAUUAACCUAUCUGCAGAUAUGACUGAUCCAAGUCUGCCUCCAAAUCCAAGGAAGGCUAUAAUUUACCAUCCUUCUGUCUCUCAUUUGAUUGCGGUAAUUGCAACAAUUUGUGAAGAGUUAUCUUCAGAUAACAUUUUGCUAAUAUAUGUAUCGGCUUCAGGAAGGACUCACCAUAAUACUGUUUUGCAAAAAGACAUCUCUGGAAGUUUGUUGAACUUCUCGAGACCGAAUCGUGUGUCACAGACUUCUCAUAAACAGGAUAGCUCACUGCCUGAUCCUCCAGUUGGCGAUAAGCCAGAUUCAAAUUCCUGUUUGGAAAGUUAUCUGUGCCUAGGUCCUCGAGGAAGUGGAGGUUUCAACAACCUUUAUCCUGAAGAUUUGCUUCCAUUCACACGGAGACCACUUUUCCUCAUCAUUGACAGUGAUAACAGCCACGCAUUCAAGGCUAUACAUGGUGCGGAAAGGGGAGAAGCAGCUGCCCUGCUUCUUUCACCUGAGAGACCAUCAUCAGUGUUUGCUACUGAUCUAACGCUCAACGGAAGCCAGUUUACAUAUUUCCUAACUGCUCCACUUCAGGCAUUUUGCCAGUUAGUUGGCCUCUCUUCUGAUGUUGAAGCUGAUGUUUAUAGAAAUGCAGAGGGCAUACUUUCCUCUGCUUUAGCUGAAUGGGAGGUAAUACUCUGCACAUGCAAUUCUCUGAAUCAGGUCUGGGCCCAGGUUUUACCUGAUCCAUUUCUACGGCGACUGAUUCUAAGGCUAUACAUGGUGCGGAAAGGGGAGAAGCAGCUGCCCUGCUUCUUUCGCCUGAGAGACCAUCAUCAGUGUUUGCUACUGAUCUAACGCUUAACGGAAGCCAGUUUACAUAUUUCCUAACUGCUCCACUUCAGGCAUUUUGCCAGUUAGUUGGCCUCUCUUCUGAUGUUGAAGCUGAUGUUUAUAGCAAUGCAGAGGGCAUACUUUCCUCUGCUUUAGCUGCAUGGGAGGUAAUACUCAGGCAUUUUGCCAGUUAAUUGGCCUCUCUUCUGAUGUUGAAGCUGAUGUUUAUAGCAAUGCAGAGGGCAUACUUUCCUCUGCUUUAGUUGCAUGGGAGGUAAUACUCUGCACAUGCAAUUCUCUGAAUCAGGUCUGGGCCCAGGUUUUACCUGAUCCAUUUCUACGGCGACUGAUUCUAUGGUACUUGUUUUUCUCAUUUUAUCCAUACAUGUACAAUUUGAUUCUUUGCAGUCUUUCCUUGGCCACAACAUGAAAUAUCAAGAUUGUCAAAAUUUAUCCUUCAUAAUAGCAGACUGUCACUGCAGGGGUAAAAAAUAGAUGUCGCAUUACACUAGCACAAUUUGAAUCUGUUUAACAUUUGCUAAUGUAAAUGAUAUUUCUUAUUUGGUGAAAGAUACUUUUGGAGAAUAAAGGAUUUAUGAUGCCUGUGAUGAAUAUGUGAUGUCCUGUGUGCUACUUGAAAAUAAUUGAUGAUGAAUAUGAACAUUCUCUGACCUACUUUUACUCGUCCUUUUUCAAAGGUGGCAAGUACAUUCUCUUCCUUGCCAAGCUCGAUUGGGACGAAAUUGGGUUAUCUGAAUUGCUGUCUCAUUCAUUUGAGCAGUGAUGACGAUAGCCAUUUGUCUUUCUAUCACUCGAGCUAACUUAUAUGCCCUCACCAUUUUUGCAUCUUGGGAAGCACCGUAUUAAGUUAAUGUGAUCACAUUGUGCUAUAGGAGGCCAGCUUUGUGAACAGAACAUUACAAGGCUGUCAGUGGUGUGGUGUUCAUUACACCAGAAACCUAAUUAUUAUUGAUUUAGCCUUCAUGUUUUACCUCUAUGUGAUUUUCUUUAUCAUUUAAUUCACAGUACUACAUUAUGUCAACACAUUAUUAUCUGCAACAGAAAAUUAAUAUGCAUACUUAUGUUGGGCAAAUUUAGCAAUAUUUAGACCUUUUUUGUAUAUGAAACCAUGGGAAUUUUACUGCUGUUACUGAGAACUGCAAAGCAGAGAACACAACUAAAGACGGCUCAUGGUUACAGCAUUGGAGGGUUUGUUGCUGGAAAAACAGGUUGGUUGUUUGGGUAGCAAAAGAUUUAGAGGACUUGAGGUGGGGGGAUAACAUUUCUUGAUUUUGUUAAAGAGUUUUGAAUAUCUGUUAGUUCAUAUUUGCAUAUGGGCAACAACAUUUUAAUUCCUUUUAGCUUUCGCUCUUUUACUCCCUGUAUGUUUUACAUUGCGUUUUUUACUAAGGCUUGUAGGUUGCUGCCAUAAGAUGUUUUUGAGGAGGUUUAUAUUCUGCCGGGCGGUGCUUCAUCUCUUCCGCCCUGUAGAGAAGAGUAGCCAGCAUCUUCCUGCUUGCAUUCCUAGCCUACCUGAGUCCGUCUCUCCAAGCUCUGCAAAAACUCAAGUCCAUAUCCUCCAGAUUGCAGAAAACUUUGGGGUUGUCGAUCAUUUUCACUUUUCAGAUUCCAUCAGGGACUCACUGCCGAACCGAUCAUUACUGCCAUAGUGUAUAAGCUUCUGCAGAUAAAAUCACGGUACAUAGGAUCCAAUCAUUUGUUGAUUAUUUUGUGUCCA